rnacentral:rRNA from 1 species
AGCAGAACCGGGCCGAUGGUUGAGUCCGGGUAAGCCGUAGGGCGUGGGAUAGGCAAAUCCGUCCCACAUACAGCCUGAGAGCUUUGCCGAACCCUAGAGGGAAGUCUGUGAUCCUAUGCUGCCAAGAAAAGCAUCGACGCGAGGUUCAAGUCACCCGUACCCCAAACCGACUCAGGUGGUCAGGUAGAGAAUACCAAGGAGAUCGAGAGAAUCGUGGUUAAGGAACUCGGCAAAAUGCCCCCGUAACUUCGGGAGAAGGGGGGCCUGAGGCGUGACGGCACUAGCUGCCCGAGCGUUUGAAGGCCGCAGAGACCAGUGGGAAGCGACUGUUUACUAAAAACACAGGUCCGUGCUAAGACGCAAGUCGAUGUAUACGGACUGACGCCUGCCCGGUGCUGGAAGGUUAAGAGGAAGGGUUAGCGCAAGCGAAGCUCAGAAUUUAAGCCCCAGUAAACGGCGGUGGUAACUAUAACCAUCCUAAGGUAGCGAAAUUCCUUGUCGGGUAAGUUCCGACCUGCACGAAUGGCGUAACGACUUCCCAGCUGUCUCAACCGCGAACUCGGCGAAAUUGCACUACGAGUAAAGAUGCUCGUUACGCGCAGCAGGACGGAAAGACCCCGUGACCUUUACUACAGCUUGGUAUUGGUGUUCGGUGUGGCUUGUGUAGGAUAGGUGGGAGACUGUGAAGCCCGGACGCUAGUUCGGGUGGAGUCAUUGUUGAAAUACCACUCUGGUCACUCUGGAUAUCUAACUUCGAACCGUAAUCCGGUUCAGGGACAGUGCCUGGUGGGUAGUUUAACUGGGGCGGUUGCCUCCCAAAAAGUAACGGAGGCGCCCAAAGGUUCCCUCAACCUGGUUGGCAAUCAGGUGUCGAGUGUAAGUGCACAAGGGAGCUUGACUGUGACAGUGACAACUGGAGCAGGGACGAAAGUCGGGACUAGUGAUCCGGCAGUGGCUUGUGGAAGCGCUGUCGCUCAACGGAUAAAAGGUACCUCGGGGAUAACAGGCUGAUCUUGCCCAAGAGUCCAUAUCGACGGCAUGGUUUGGCACCUCGAUGUCGGCUCGUCGCAUCCUGGGGCUGGAGUAGGUCCCAAGGGUUGGGCUGUUCGCCCAUUAAAGCGGCACGCGAGCUGGGUUUAGAACGUCGUGAGACAGUUCGGUCCCUAUCCGCUGCGCGCGUUGGAAGUUUGAGAGGAUCUGACCCUAGUACGAGAGGACCGGGUUGGACGAACCUCUGGUGUGUCAGUUGUUCCGCCAGGAGCACCGCUGAUUAGCUACGUUCGGGAUGGAUAACCGCUGAAAGCAUCUAAGCGGGAAGCCGGCCUCAAGAUGAGACUUCCGUGCCUUCGGGCGAGAGGCUCCCAGCCAGACUACUGGGUUGAUAGGCCGGAUGUGGAAGUGGGGACUACAGACCCAUGAAGCUGACCGGUACUAAUAAGCCGAUGACUUGAUAACACA